rnacentral:rRNA from 1 species
UACGGGGGGAGCAAGCGUUGUUCGGAUUUACUGGGCGUAAAGGGCGCGUAGGCGGCACCGCAAGUCGGUUGUGAAAUCUCCGGGCUUAACUCGGAAAGGUCAACUGAUACUGCGGAGCUAGAGUGCGGAAGGGGCAACUGGAAUUCUCGGUGUAGCGGUGAAAUGCGUAGAUAUCGAGAGGAACACCUGCGGCGAAGGCGGGUUGCUGGGCCGACACUGACGCUGAGGCGCGAAAGCGUGGGGAGCGAACAGG